rnacentral:rRNA from 1 species
UACGUAGGGUGCGAGCGUUAAUCGGAAUUACUGGGCGUAAAGCGUGCGCAGGCGGCUUCGCAAGUCAGGCGUGAAAUCCCCGGGCUUAACCUGGGAAUGGCGUCUGAAACUACGGAGCUGGAGUGUGGCAGAGGGAGGUAGAAUUCCACGUGUAGCGGUGAAAUUCGUAGAUAUUGGGAAGAACACCGGUGGCGAAGGCGGCUCUCUGGACCGAGACUGACGCUGAGGCGCGAAAGCGUGGGGAGCAAACAGG